ACCAAAAGAAAGAAAGAAAGAUAGGAAAUCCAACUGCAGGCCACUGUAAAGUUCCUAGAAAAACACCAUACAUGUGUUAAGGAUUCUACAAGGCUAUUGACUGACUGGAACUUUGUAAUGGUGAGAAGUUGGGAUGCUGCUCAUCUCGAGCCAAGUGAUUCUAAGUCAUUUUUAAUCCCUUUGUGAGCCAUUCACUGCCCAAGUCUGUAUCUGUCCUUACAUCCUCGGUUGGGGUAAACUUUUCAAAACUCUAGUAGCUGGGCAGGUGACCAGCUUCUGCCACCCUCAAAGCUAAGAAUGCCAUCUGCAGCAUCUGACGUCUGCUGCAGAAAUGUCCUCUCUCUGCUGCUCUUCCUGCUGACUAUUUCUACCCGUUUGUUUUUAAGCCUUGAUUUACAACCGUCUUAAUUACUUGUGUAAUUGUAAACACUCACAAAAUUGAUUCCGCAUUAGAAUGUGUUAUUUGACACAAAGCUGAAUUCUUGUUCCUGGACUAUCGUCAUUCACACUCGGCUUAAGAAUAGACCCUUAUGCCCUCUGAGGUGGCAUCUGUCUUUUACAGCAAACAGAAUAGUAUCCUUGUAUUGAUGACAUAGCCAAGACGAGGGUACAUCAGAGACAGAAAUGAAGGAAGGGGAUGGCUCCAGUGGGUGAAGGCACAAGAGUGGGAUUCUCAGUUUGAAUAGUAUAGGAUCCAUAGGUGUUACUCAAAGGCAACCAAUGAAGAAGUGUGAUAUAAAUGAAUGAGUCCAGGGGUUGGGGAUUUAGCUCAGCGGUAGAGCGCUUGCCUAGCAAGCGCAAGACCCUGGGUUCGGUCCCCAGUUCCGAAAAAAAGAAAGAAAAAAAUGAAUGAGUCCAUUAGUUUAAUUAUUCAUUAGUUAAUAAGUUAUGGUGAUGAAUGGUGUGUGUACACGCAUGCGUGCGUGUGCAUGCUAAACCUCUAAACCGCAGGCUUUGGACAUGCCAGGCAAACCCUCUUCUAAUCAAGCUACGUCUCCAGACAGAAAGUUAUUUUUAAGAAUAGAAACAAGACUAGAAUGGCAGGACUGUGCCCCAGAGGGCAUUUCCCUUAGGAUAUAGAGAAGUCAGCACCCCAUGGCUAAUUCAGGGCUUCGUGCCCUGAUGAGAUUUGGUCCUUUGCCAAAGGUUUCUGGAAGAACACUCAUAUGUACUUGCAUUUCUCUCAGCUGUAAGUCAUUGCUAGGCAUUUUCUGGACCUGUUUUACAGUAAUCACAACCACGGGAUUCAUGGCUUCACCUACUGUAUAGCUUUUGGUCUGUGUAGCCACGUUUACGUUUUCUGUCAAGGGCACUUUGGUCUUCUCUUGCCUGUUCAGUGAGUGUGGGAAAGUGAACUUGGCUUUAGAUUCAGACGUCCCGACCGGCUGGUGGGGCUGGCCUCAGCCUCAUGGCUGUUCUCUGAAGGGCUGUAGUCAGGUCUGCUAGAAUACAGGCUGUAACCAGUCGGCUACGUAGGUAAGGGACUUGGGGCAUCAUAUUCAUGGCUUUUCUUCUAGUAGCUACCAAACACACUUAAAAAAAAACAACAGGAAAGAGAGGUUUUGUUUGGGGUCACAGUUUGAGGUGAUACGGUUCCCUGUGGCAGGGGAAGGCAUGUGGAGGGAACAUGGAAACAGAUGGUCACGUCCCAUAGUCAGGUAGCGGAAAGAUGAGCUGGUGUUCAGACUGCUUCCUACUUCCGUUUCACUCUGUCAUCCCUAUCCUACCCCAGUCCGUGGAGGAUCCUCCCACAUUCAGAGCAGAUCUUUACCUAAGCUAAUCCUCAGCAAUCCUUCCGAAAUGCUCUCAUGGGAGCACCCAGAAGUGUGUCUCCUGGGUAAUUUCAACCCCAGCCAAGCAGACAAUGGAGAUCAAGCAGGACCCAUGUAGCCAAUCCGUAGGUCUGACCACACCCUCCAGCAGGGCAGUGAACCCCAGUUCAUCAUUUCAGCACACCCAUCCCUAUUGGCCAGGAGACCUUAAGUAAGCUUCUCUCCCCUCUCCCUUAUCCACUUUCCUAUCUGACCACUACCCUACAUCUAGUAGGCAGUAGCCCCUUCUGCACCCAUUACCAAGAGUCUCACUAAGACCCGGCCACCCCUAGGGCUGCUCGGUCACUGCGCAUGCUCACAGUUUACCCCUUCUGGGACGGUAGCGGCUCAUUUCGUGCUUUGUCCUGACUCCACUUUCCCAGAUUUUUGGGCACCUGUUUUCUUCUCUUGUUCCCAACCUAGCUCACCUCCUGGCAUUUCCAGAACACAUUUGCUAUUGACUUUCCCUGCCUAGUCUCAACACAUGACCUUGUUCCAACUCCAAAUCCUCACUCGGUCCUCUGACUCUAGCCACCCACCACUGUUUCUGUAUAGACCAGCAGGUGACCCACUGCAGUACGCUGUAGCCAAUAGGAGAAAUGGGACAUCAAGGCCAUGGCUUGUUAGAGAUUUUGCUUCUGCGUGUGUGGUAGUCCAUCUUUGAAGGAGGUCAGGGAUAAAGUCUAGGCAGGAACUUAAGCAGAACCCAUGGAAGAAUGCUGCUUGAUGUGCCAGACGUCGCCACCCACCAACACCCCACCCCCUACCUGCCGCUCCCCGACACACCCUGUGGGCUGAGCCUGGCCACCUCAGUCGUUAAUUAAGAAAAUGUCCUAUAGACAGCCUGGAUGGAGACAUUUUUCUUAACUGAGAUUGCUCUUCCGGGAUAACUCUAGCUUGUGUCAAGUUGACAGAAGAAAAAGAAAAAAAGACCCUACUCAGGUCAGCAUGUUAUAUUAAUAAGCUGUUUGCUCUCCUAGAAACUCAGUUUUGUUUCCGUACUGUAGAUUAGGCUGCUGAGGCCUGGAGAUGUCCAGUAACUUGCCAAGGAUCAGCCAACCAGAGUUCUGAAUGCAAACCCCAGAGUCCAGGGUCUUCGCUGCUACAGCCCCUCCCUAAGAGUUGCUGAGCACCUGGGCCUGAAGAGAAACCUGAAUUCCUCUGGCUUGAUCUCCUUCCUGAUACCUGGUAAAAGGAGGCCAUCUAUGUAUGGGAAGGCCUGGGUUGUUAAGUGGUGGUUAUCUACGUCAGUUUCCUAUGACAAAGGACAGCAUGCCGUUGGCUAAAAAUGACAGAAACUCAUUGUCUCUGAGUCAUUGAAGGUCAGAUCCAAAGUCAGGGUGUUGUUCCCUCCAGACCUCCAGGGAGGAAUUUGUCUGGGGAGGGUGGUGUGUGUGUGUGUGGGGGGGGGUUGUUCGGGAUUGUUUUGGUUUUUUAUCUUUUAGGGUAGCCUCAGUUAUUCUUUGGCUCUCAGCCACAAGCUCCCAUCUGUUUGUCUAGGGGCUCAGGCCUUUUCUUCCUCUUUUUAUGGAGGCAACACCCAGAUUCCAGCUAGAUUCCAGCUGCCUCAGUUCACUGUGGGCCUCAUCUUGGUCCAAGUGCACCUGAAAAUUCUGAAUUUCCAAAUACAACCUCACUCACAAGUACUGAGGCCCAGGGCUUCUGCACAUCUUUCCAGGAUCUACACCUACACAGUUCUCCAUACGUCUACGGAGUUCCUCUUGUGGAACAUUGCCCAUGUGUGUUGCUCUCUGUAUGUGGAAACCAAUCAUAAGACUGUGUAUCGAGGCAACUUUCAGGACAGAGACUACUUUCUGUAUUCCAAAACCUAGAAGGUCUUCAAAAGAACUUAUAUAUGUCUUUGACUUAAACUUAUUAUGUCAUCUCCAUAUCCAAUUAUGGAGUCAGAGAAGGAGAGAUGGUUCAGCGGUUAAGAGCACUUGCUGUUUGUUCGAAGACCUAAGUUCGAUUCCCAGCAUCCACAUGAUGGUUCACAACCAUCUGUAACUUCAGUUCUCUACACUCUCUCUCACCUCCAGAGGCACUGGGAAUGUAUGUGGUUUACAGGGAUAUAUGCAGAAAAAAUGCUCAUACCUGUAAAAAUAAAAUAAUUCUAAAAAAAUCAAAAACAUAUUAUUUUCACCCCAGUGAUAUUUAUAAUCUUUGUUUUUAACCCAUUAAAAUUAAUUUAAAGACAGAGAUAAGCAUUUUAGACAGAUAGUCAUAACUUUCUUUCAAGAUUUUAUUUUCCCCUGUGAAACAAACUAAUCUUAUUCCGCAAGUGAAGGGGACACUUAAGGGCUCUUUGGAAAGUCAGUUGGGUUGGACGGCCUUUUGCUAGGGCAAAGACGUGGAGUGUUUUCUCGAGGUGGACACAAGAGAAAGGCCGUUUUGCUGAGGCAGACUCGUGAGGGAAUGUGUCGCUGAAGCAGACACAGGUGAAAGGAUGCUCUGCUAAAGCAAACUCGUGAAAGGACUCGAUAAAGAAUGCUUUGCUAAUGGCACUCGUGCGUUGCUCUGCCUUACAUUGCUCAGUUGAGCUCCUUUUACUGGGACUCCAUAGAGAGAAAUGCACCAAAAAGCUUCUGGCAGUGUGCGACAGCCUCUUACAGCUUCUGCGAACUCACACUGAUGGGCAGAGUGAAGUCAGCUGACAUAGGCUCAUGCGCUGAGGCAAGACCCACGGAAGACACACGAUGUUUGGAGGGCAUAUAAAUAGAACUCAACUAACAGACUGUGAGAGGGGCUUGGUUUACUGCAUAGCUAACCGCUUCUUGGUCUCAAGUCUUCCCUGAUCUUUGCUUUGUUGAGAGAGACACAGCCAAGAACUGUUCCUGGCAUCCCUGCUGGUCUGUAGCCCUCCUGCUGCUGACUCAUGCUGACUCAUGCCUGUUCUGCUGAGGCCUGGCCUUCCCUGCUAGGUCACACCACCACUGCUGCUCUCAACACUACCAAACUGGACUGCUGGUAUAUCCGUGAAGUGUUUGGCCUUGGUGGUACUCCUGGAGGUGCCCCUCCCACAUUCAUCCCUGUGAGCAGCUCAUACCUCUCUCUCCUUUCUUCCCUUGUCACAUCCCUGGGAAGGCUGACAGAGUCUCUGGGUGAAGGGAAUGUCUACAUUAGCGUUUGCUCUUCUGAACAAAGAGAGCACAGAAAGACGGUUCUCUCUCGUCCACUUUGCUGUCUUCCGGAGGUCCUUACACUAUGGCCUGGUGGGCUCCCUGGCAGCUGUGUCCUUGCCUCUCUCUCCCCACCCCUUUGGAAACCUGGCUCUGUGAGCUGCCUAUUUAUUUACUUCUCUGGAAUUUCCGUCGCGAUGGUUCAGUGGGGCGGUUGCCGGGGGCCUGGGGCUGUUGGGCGUAUCAUCGGUACAAUAAUGUGUAUGUGUGUCCCCAGCUUUGCAAAAUUUAUAUGAAGGGAAUUAAAUCCAAACUAACUGCCGAGAUCAUCGUCCUUACCCUUGGCUUUUCCAGGGCCCUUGGGCAGAACCCUAGCCUGGGCAUAUUCCAAGAAGGAUAAAUUUAAUAUUAAUGAUAAUAAUACUUUGCACUUGGUCUAGUGAAAAUAUUUUGAAUGCAGCAAAGGCUGGGAAGCGAAUGUUUGCUUGGUGCGGUGGGUCAGGAAGCGCCUCUGCUUGUUUAUUAUGGUAGGGCUUUGUGUACAGAAACUAUUUUUCUCCUUUCUCACCGCCCGGGGCCAUAUUUCUUGUUGCUCGCUACAUCCAGAGUUUUACAGGAAGCCGCCACUCAUAUUUAAAUGGCAUGUUUUUAAAACAUGUCUGUAAAUAGCUGAAGACAGAUCGGCCGUAGGUGUGGCGUCGUCUCCUAUCCUCUCUGUCGGGAUUCUUUGUUCCACUCGAAAUCACAUCUCCGUCCCUGCGAGAUGGGGGAACUUUAAACUCAGCAUAGCCAGGAAGUUGGGAGACCCACGCUGUGAAUCGGUGGUGGCUGGAAGAUUCCCAGAGGAAGAGGGAGGAGUCUCUUCUCAACUGGAGGUUGAAGCAGUAGCCAGAGAUGUCAUACAAAUGCACAAAGAGCUUUCUUCGAGAUCCUCUGCUUCCUCCAGAGCCUGCCUCCCUGAAGUGAUUCUAUGGCAACAACAAAACAGCCUCGCCAGGAUGGAGGUGAGCUGCACACCUCCAUCUCCCAGCAGCAGGCCCCUUGGCUGCAUGCUUUGCCGUCCGUCUCCAGCCCUGACAGUGGCAUGAUGUAUUAUUCAGGCUAGAAUCACCCAAGGGGCACCCUCUCCAGAUCUAACUCACUCUAAUUCUGGAUGCUGCUCCACCUUGGGCCCCUGCUGCAUUUGAAGGCACAGAUCUUGCUCCAGCAAAUUUGGCUAAGACUCAUCCAGGGUGACUGACAUAUUGCACCUGUAAACCAGAGAACUUUAAGUGUGUGCGCCCAGGAACAUGGCAGUGAACCUGCUUAGAUGGUCUUUAGGAGGAAAGCUAGUUAUGUGUAUAGUCUACAGAAGCUUAACCCCUUGUUAAAAAAAGAGUAGGGGAGUACAGUUUAAGAUGGUGUAUUUUUCACACCUCUCCUAUAGUUUGGAUCUGGACUAUCCCUUGGGGGCCUGUGUGUAAAGUCUUGGUUUCCAUAUUGAUGUUAUCAGGAGGCAGUGGGAGCUUUAGGAAAUGAAGCCUGUUCAGUUUGUAUAAUGUUACCUGCAUGUAUGUUACCUGCAUGUAUGUUAAGCAAUUGGUGUGCUCUUCUCUGGAGACGACUGUUUUUCCCACUCCCAGCAUUCCUUAAUUGCUUGAAGGUUAUAAUAUAUGUAACAUAUUAUAAUAUAUAUCAUUUUAUAUUGCGCCAUUAUUAUAUACUUAUAUAUUAUAUAUUUGUGUUAUUAUGUUAUAUAAUAAUAAAUUAAUUACAUAUAUUAUAUAUAUUAACAAUCAAUUACAAAGACAGGUAUAUAGGAGGACUUGGAAGACAGAAAGGGAAAGGGAAAAUAAUAUAUCUCAGAAAAUAAAAAAUAAAAAUUUUAAACUAUAUAAAUGAGGGGAGUGAUGCCUAAUAUGGAGUCUUUUGUCGCUGGGCGAUGCGUUGGACCCUCCUGUGAGACCUCAGCCUCCUCCUCCUUUCUUUGCUCCAUUGGCCACUACAAGCCCAGAGCUGCAAUGCCAACCAAGAUCUCCAAGACUGCGAGCCAACAUACACUUUUCCUCUUUGCAAACUGGCUUCAUAAGGUGACAGAAAACUGAUGGAUACUUUCUAAGUCUCAGUAAGAAUGAAGAAAAUGGUGAGCAGGGCCAAGCACCUGCCUAGCAUGCGUGGGGUUCCAAGUUCAAGCCCUGGCACAGCAAGAAAAUCGAAGCACAGUCUCUGAUCUGCCUUGCAGCAAUGAGACCCUCACUUCAAGGCCUUGCCCUGUAGCCUUAAGAGAAGAACAAUGAAGGAUCCACCAUGGCCCAGCAUGGACGUUGUUCAGUCACAUUUUCACUGAUGUUCAUGGUUUCUUCAUACCCAUGUAAUGAGACCUUCAUAAAGUCAAAUGGGGCAGUGUAUAGAGACCAUCUAGGGGUUCCUGAUGGGGUUCUCAAAGAGAGCGUGAGAGUGCAGCAACCCUUCUCCCAGACCUUAACUGCUUUAUCUGUAUCCUUUAAAAUAAAAGUUGUAGUUCUC
rnacentral:sRNA from 1 species